rnacentral:pre_miRNA from 8 species
UCUCAGGCUCUAACCCUCUAGAGGGAAGCGCUUUCUGUCGUCUGAGAGAGAAGAAAGUGCAUCCUUUUAGAGGAUUACGGUUUGAGA